UUUCCGCAGGUGAACCUGCGGAAGGAUCAUUAUUGUGUAACCGAGGUGCGAGGGCUGUCGCUGACCCGAAAGGUCGUGCACGCCCGAGUGCCCUCACACACAUCCAUCUCACCCCUAUGUGCACCACCGCGUGGGUCCCCCUUUGGCUUGUUCGGAGGGGGGCUUACGUUUUCACACAAACUUUGUAUGCAGUGUAGAAUGUAUUUUUUGUUUUUGCGAUCACGCAAUCAAUACAACUUUCAACAACGGAUCUCUUGGCUCUC
rnacentral:misc_RNA from 1 species